GCUGUGGCUCAAGUGGUAGAGCACUAGCCAUGAGGUCUCAGGGACAGUGCCCAGGCCCUGAGUUCAAGCCCCAGGACUGACAAGAAACAACAAUAAACAAUCUACCUCCUUUUGAAGACCAAAUAUGUUUAUAUCACAGCAAUUCAAGGUGCACCUUAAAAUCGC